UAAUAGCGUAUAUUAAAGUUGUUGCAGUUAAAAAGCUCGUAGUUGGAUUUCGGGGUAGGGCGCACGGUGGGCCGCAAGGUUUUACUGGACGCCCUGCUCUUCCUUCUGUAGCCUACCUCUCUUCUUAACUGAAUGGAGGCCCAGGAUGCAGAUCGUUUACUUUGAAUAAAUUAGAGUGUUCAAAGCAGGCAUUUGCUUGAAUACGUUAGCAUGGAAUAAUGGAAUAGGACUUUGGUUCUAUUUUGUUGGUUUCUAGGACCGAAGUAAUGAUUAAUAGGGAUAGUUGGGGGCAUUAAUAUUUAAUUGUCAGAGGUGAAAUUCUUGGAUUUAUGAAAGAUUAACUUCUGCGAAAGCAUUUGCCAAGGAUGUUUNCAUUAA
rnacentral:rRNA from 1 species